GCAAAUAGGUGUGUAACUAACACCCUCUUUCUUAGUCUGGAUCGGCAAAAGUCGAAAAGCCGAAAUACCGAAAACUAGUAUUUUGUAAAUUUGCGAGUGUGCGAAUGCUCGUGAGGUAAAUCGAUUAAUGUUUUUAGUAAGCUGCAAAAUUUGGAGUACAAAGUGCAUGAUUUCUGUGCCUUCGAUAUUUUUGGGCUUAAUGGGCUAAAAUUGGAAUAAUGGGCCAACGGGCCCAAUUCGGUAAGAACCCUCGAUACGUGAUUCUGUUAGUACGUGAAAAGUAGGAAUAUGCAUGAAAAACCCUAAAAUAGAUAAAUUACUGAAAUACCUUUAAAAGUGGAAAAUUUACAAUUUUACCCCUAGUAGAUAAAUUACCGAAAUACCCCUAGGGUUAAAUUGACCUAAAUGCAUGUUUGACUGUUGUUAUUUACUGCAUGCCAUGUUGUUAUUAUCUGAUGCAUGGGGCUGGGAUAUUGACGGAAGAAGUACUGAAAGUGGCUUGUCCACGUACUGGAGGCUUUGCCUCAAUUUACUGUU
rnacentral:lncRNA from 1 species